UGCCUCUUUCUUGGUGAUUUGAUCAUAAACAUUGUGUGUUGGCUCACAAACCUGGGAUUCCAUCAGGCAGAAUCCUGCCUGCAGGAGGGGGCAGGUGAGGAUGCUGAGGGUGCGAGCAUCUUCCUUUGUUGUCUCAGCAUCUCUUUUUGAACCCAGGCAUAAGAGAAGGCCCCUGUGUCAUUGAUAGGUUCAUGGCACAUCAACGAGUGUGACUGGGGAGUGCUGGCAAAUCUACAGUUGAACUGCCUAAUAAUUUGUGGCAUCAGAACCAUGCAGGAGACAAACAAAAUGACUUAGACCUUCUGUGUGAUCUCACGAGGGUUGUGUUGUAGGGCUCCUGUAAUAAGAAAUGGAGGUCUCAUCAUGUUUCCCCGGCUGGUCUUAAACUUCUAGACUCAAGCAUUCCUCCUGCUUCAGCAUCCCAAAGUGCUGGGAUUACAGGCCGCUGAGGACCGCACAGGGGAGCGGGCGGCGGCAUCGCGAGGACUGACCACUGGGUGGCACUGUUGCUCCAUGGAGAGCUGCCAACGGCGUCCCCGGGGACCCGGCCACGUUGAGCACAAAAGGUGGGAUUUCUAAGGUGUGCUCGGUGAUGAGUUUCUUAAUGAAUUUACCUCUUCUAUGGAAUCUCCCUCUGCAGCGUCUCCUGCCGCCCGGGGCCGGUUUCUGACUGUGGACUCUGGGUUGAGCCCAUGGGGUCAGUGCGCGUGGAGCUUGCACUGCCCAGACCCACAGCCCCAGGAGCAGCCACCUCCCGUGUCACCCGGGCGGCGUCCUGAUGACAUCACUUAGAAGAUUAAAAAUAAAUUGAAGCACAUGUCACCUUAAAGGGGGCACAAAAAGGACAUCUGCAUGAUUUGAUGCAUCCAUGAGAAAGGGCUGCUGGCUUUUGAUUUAAACUGUUGGGAAAGAGGAUUUUAAAGCUUGUAAGCUGCUAGUAUUUCCAAAAGAAUGACUAUUUUUUAUUUUUUAUUAUUUAAAUUAAAAAAGCACUUCCCUGUU